ensembl:lncRNA
UGUCUCCUGUUUCUGAUUUUGGUUUUUAAGGUCUGGAUAAGCUCUCGCUUAUUUGAAUCCUCCCAUAAGAUAUAACCAGAGUGAUGGAAAAUGCUGACUGAUUCUGCAGCCUGCAUUGUGGAAAAACAAAAUAGUCAUGACAAAAACUGCCCUUAAGUCAUUUUGCUUCUCUGGAGUUCCUGAUCUUACUCAUCUAAUUUCAUGCACGUGAAUAUUCCCAUUGAUUAAGAAGGAGUGUAAGGAGCAUUCUGGUGACACCAUGGGACAGAAACUUCUCUGGGUUCAGCGCACCGUGAUAGGAGAAGACAGCUGCAGCAGGCUCGCUCUGAGGCAAACACAUCUUCCCAGGCGUGGAACGUAUUGGAUAGGUACAUGGCUUUUGCCGUUCUGGAUUCCUGUGAGCUUUGGGAGAGGAGCGAUCCUGCUAUCUGGAAGGCUGCGUUUUGCCAGUGGUCUACAAAACACCGUUCUCAAAUGUCCGCACCGUCUGGGGACCUGGCAUCCAGCUUACGGAUGGGGAUUCACCCUGGCAGCAGCCAAGUCCCUGAGGAGAAGGAGGGAUGAAGCAAAGUCUGGGGAACAAAUCCCCAGCCGAAGAUCAGCACGCGAGCUCAGACACACACGUAUUCCCAUGAAUGCUUGUGGAUGCCAAAAU